GACGUAGGGGGCGAGCGUUGUCCGGAAUCAUUGGGCGUAAAGAGCGUGUAGGCGGUCCGGUAAGUCGGUUGUGAAAGUCCAGGGCUCAACCCUGGGAUGCCGAUCGAUACUGUCGGACUAGAGUUCGGAAGAGGCGAGUGGAAUUCCCGGUGUAGCGGUGAAAUGCGUAGAUAUCUGGAGGAACACCGGUGGCGAAGGCGGCAUCCUGGACCGACACUGACACUGAGGAGCGAAAGCCAGGGGAGCAAACGGG
rnacentral:rRNA from 1 species